GAUGAACGCUGGCGGCGUGCCUAAUACAUGCAAGUCGAGCGAACGGACGAGAAGCUUGCUUUUCUGAUGUUAGCGGCGGACGGGUGAGUAACACGUGGAUAACCUACCUAUAAGACUGGGAUAACUUCGGGAAACCGGAGCUAAUACCGGAUAAUAUUUUGAACCGCAUGGUUCAAAAGUGAAAGACGGUCUUGCUGUCACUUAUAGAUGGAUCCGCGCUGCAUUAGCUAGUUGGUAAGGUAACGGCUUACCAAGGCAACGAUGCAUAGCCGACCUGAGAGGGUGAUCGGCCACACUGGAACUGAGACACGGUCCAGACUCCUACGGGAGGCAGCAGUAGGGAAUCUUCCGCAAUGGGUGAAAGCCUGACGGAGCAACGCCGCGUGAGUGAUGAAGGUCUUCGGAUCGUAAAACUCUGUUAUUAGGGAAGAACAUAUGUGUAAGUAACUGUGCACAUCUUGACGGUACCUAAUCAGAAAGCCACGGCUAACUACGUG
rnacentral:rRNA from 1 species